GAUGAACGCUGGCGGCAUGCCUAAUACAUGCAAGUCGAGCGAACAGACCAGGAGUUUUCUCCUCUGACUUUAGCGGCGGACGGGUGCUUCACACGUGGUUAACCUACCUAUCCGACUGGGAUGACAUUAGCAAACCGUGUCUUAUACCCGAUGAUAUAUUGACCCUCGUUGUUCCCUCGUUAGAUACGGUUUUUCUUUCACUAAUAGCUUACUCCGCGCCGCAUUAGCUAGUUGGUUAGGUAACGGCUUACCCACGCGACGAUGGGUAGCCGACCUGAGAGGGAGAUCGGCCACCCGGGAACUGAGAAGCGGUCCAGACUCCUACGGGAGGCAGCAGUCGGGAAUCUUACGCAAAGGGCGAAAGGCUGACGGAGCAACGCCGCGGGAGUGAUGAAGGUCUUAGGAUCGGAAAACUCUGUUAGUAGGGAAGAACAAAUGCGUAAGUAACCAUGCACGUAUUGACGGUACCGAAUCAGAAAGCCACGGCUAACUACGUG
rnacentral:rRNA from 1 species